rnacentral:rRNA from 1 species
UACAGUGGGUGCAAACGUUGCUCGGAAUUAUUGGGCGUAAAGCGCGCGUAGGCGGCUACUUAUGUCGGAUGUGAAAGCCCUUGGCUCAACUGAGGAAGUGCACCCGAAACUGAGUAGCUGGAGUACGAAAGAGGGUCGCGGAAUUCCCGGUGUAGAGGUGAAAUUCGUAGAUAUCGGGAGGAACACCGGUGGCGAAGGCGGCGACCUGGGUCGAUACUGACGCUGGAGCGCGAAAGCGUGGGGAGCAAACAGG